GUUCUUCCCAGCGCUAAGUGAAAAACAGUUCGCCAGCUGCAGCAGCACUGUGUGCAGAGACCCGUUAAAUUGUUGGCUUCAGGAUCUGGCGUUCAUAAGAAGCAUGAAAGGAGAUCAAAUAACGCAAAAGGAACCAGAGGGACUUCGCUGGCGAGGCUUCAGUCACAUGUGGCGAUGCGCUCCCUGCAGGAUUCAGCCGGAGUCCAUGUGGUGCAGAAACUACGCGACCACCAGGAAGUAUUGGACGUGUACGUGUCAGCGCCCGCGGUGGGACACCUGUACGGACCCAGCCGCACGCCCGGCCAGCAGGGGCUGGCUUGUCAACUAUCCCGCCUGCGCCUGCGCGGAGGCCUCAGAUAACUUCGUUUUAUGCCGAGUAAAAUAAAGCAAAACACAAUAAAAUGGAAAUAAAAAUAAAAUACAAAAAAACCUGCGAGACAUAAAGCCCCGUUGUGCAAGGGAAUGAAUAAUAUUCAAGGAAAGGUAAUCAUUUCUAUAAAUGGGAGGCAUUUUAAAG
rnacentral:lncRNA from 1 species